GAUGAACGCUGGCGGCGUGCCUAAUACAUGCAAGUCGAGCGAAGCGGGGACGGGUGAGUAACACGUGGAUAACCUCCUAUAAGAAUGGGAUAACUUCGGGAAACCGGAGCUAAACCGGAUACUUAUAGAUGUAUCCGCGCUGCAUUAGCUAGUUGGUAAGGUAACGGCUUACCAAGGCAACGAUGCAUAUCCGCCCUGAGAGGGUGAUCGGCCAAACUGGAACUUGGACCCGGUCCCGACUCCUACGGGAGGCAGCAGUAGGGAAUCUUUGGCCAUGGGGGGAAAGCUGACCGAGCAACGACGCGUGAGUGAAGAAGGGUGUCGGAUCGUAAAGCUCUGUUGUUAAGGAAGCGGUACUUAACCAGAAAGGGACGGCUAACUACGUGCCAGCAGCCGCGGUAAUAC
rnacentral:rRNA from 1 species